UGCCAAAAAACCCUCUGCCGCCAAGAAGACCGCUGAAAAGAAGAAGACCGACAAAACAAAGGCAGCUGCCAAAAAACUCUCUGCCGCCAAGAAGACCGCUGAAAAGAAGAAGGCCGACAAAACAAAGGCAGCUGCCAAAAAACCCUCUGCCGCCAAGAAGACCGCUGAAAAGAAGAAGGCCGACAAAACAAAGGCAAAGGCUGCCAAGAAAACCGGUACAGUUAAAGCUAAACCAGCAAAGACCGCCGCCAAAUCAUCUGCCACUAAAACAUAGGCACCCAAGGCAAAAACUGCAGCU